GACGAACGCUGGCGGCGUGCUUAACACAUGCAAGUCGAACGGAAAGGCCCUGCUUGCAGGGCACUCGCGUGGCGAACGGGUGAGUAACACGUGGGUGAUCUGCCCAGCUCUUCGGGAUAAGCCAGGUCAACUGGGUCUAAUACCGGAUAGAAGACAUCUUUAGCGUGAUGGUUCGAAAGUUUUUACGGGGUAGGGUGAGCUCGCGAGCUAUCUGCUUGUUGGUGCGGGAAUGACCUACCAAGUCGGCUACGGGUAGCCGGACUGAGGGAGUGGACGGCCACAUAGGAACUGAGGCAAGGCCGAGAUUGCAACGGAAGGAAGCUGUGGGAAAGUUUGCCAAAUGGUCGCAACCAUGAUGCAGCGACGCGGCGUGGAGUAAGACAGUCUUCUGGGUGAAAACUAAAUGCGCAAGGGACUAUGCUUAUCGUGACGGUACCUAGACAAAAAGCAACGGCUAACUACGUG
rnacentral:rRNA from 1 species